UGCCAGCCGCCAUAAAAACAAAAGAAGAAGAAGAAGAAGAAGAAGAAGUUUGUUUCUCUGACGCUGCCACUGAAAGACGUGUUUUAUGCCACUCCUUAUUUGUCUCAUUUGGUCCACCAAACGUUUUAUACUGUGCGUGCAUGCAAAAAGAACACCUAGUGCAAAGGAAACCAUGCUCUUCACUUGGGGUCUUUGACAGUCACUGAGAUGUUCUGCGGACAGAUGGUGAGGGGGAAGGAGCCACUGCCCUCCUCAUGGAUGCCGGGAUUGAACUCCACAAUAAUCCUCUCGAGUUUCUGCUUCAAGUCCAGCUUGAUGCGAGGUGAAGUCUGAGCCCAAAUGCCGUCCCCCAUAGUCCCACCGAUGAGCCAUAUGCCUUCAGAAGGCUUGAGGAACAAGGCCCUUUUCCUCUGGAUGGACUCCUGGGCCACCCCGAUGUACCAGUCUUUACCCUGUCCCACGUCCACAGUCCAGCUGUGUUUUCCAGACACAAAGCCAGUGACUCCGAGCACACACAAACUACCUGUGCAGCGUUCUGGGUUGUUUGGUAGAAUAUGUUGGCUGCUGUACUGCACACAGCUCAGCUCAUUUGAGAGCUCCAAAUUGGCAUGAGCUGUGUUUGGAUCCAAAGUGAUGGGAACUGGAAGAGAGACGGAUCAAUUUAACAGUUUAUUUUCUUGUCCUCUUUUGGGCCACAGGUAAGCAGAAGCCUAUACAGGCUGAAUUUGGGUGAGAGGUGGGUUACACUCUGAAUUGGUCUACCAAAAAAAUGUAGUUCUAUCCCUGACUCCAAAACUAACUCUAAUUGAAACCAAUUCCAACACUAAACAUAACCCCGACCUUAACCCUAACACUAAACCCACAGUAAACUUAGACCUAACCAAAAUCAACCCUAACCCUUAAACCCAAUCACAUUGCCAACCCUAAACUUAACCUCAAUUCUAAAACCAGAUCCCAAAACUAAUCAGAAGCCUAACCCUGUCCAAAACCCAACUCUCAAACCCUUCAAAUCCAACCCUAACCGAAGCUUAACCAGACUCCAAAAUGAAUCAUACAGUGCAUCCAGAAAGCUUCACUUUUUCGAAAAAAUUUUAUGUGAGUCUUUUUGCAGAAUUCCUUUUUGUCAUCAGAAUUCUACAAGCAAUACCCCGAGACAAUGUGAAAACUUUUUUAAGAGAGAUUUUUGCAAAUGUAUUAAAAAUAAACAACAAAGAAAUCACAUGUACAUAAUUAUUCACAGCCUUUGACAUGAAGCUCAAAAGUGAGCGAUCGGGUGCAUCUAAUCAUUCGUGAGCGGUUCCUCUAGCUUAAUUGGAGUACAUCUGUGGUAAAUUCAGUUAAUUAAACAUGAUUUGUAAAGGCACACCUGUCUAUUUAUGAAGUUUCAGACUUGACAGUGCAUGGCAGAGCACAAACCAAGAAUGAAGUUGAAAGAGCUGUCUGUAGACCUCCUAGACAAGAGGUUCUCAAGGUACAAAUCUUACAUGGAAUUGAUCCCAGAUGUUUUCGUCUUCAUCUGUCAGCAGGACAACUACCCUAAGCACACAGCCAAGAUAUCAAAGAAAUGGCUACAGGAAAAUUCUGUAAAUGUCCUUGAGUGGCCCAGCCAUAGACAAGACUUGAAUCCGAUGGAAUAUCUCUGGAGAGAUCCGAAAAUGGAUGGUACCAACACUUCCCAUCUAACUUGAUGGAGCUUGAGAGGUACUGCUAAGAGGAAUGGCCAAAACUGCCAAAUAUAAAGGUGUGCCAAGCUUGUGAUUCAAAAUACUUGAGGCUGUAACUGCUGCCAAAAGGUGCAUCAACAAAGUAUUGAGCAAAGCCUGUGAUUACAUUACAUGCGAUUUCUUAGUUUUUUAUGCCAGCGCCCCCCGCGACCCCGAAAGGGAAUAAGCGGUAGAAAUGGAUGGAUGGAUGGAUACAUUUACAAAAUGCUCUAAAAUAAACUUUUUCCAUCAUGGAAAAAGUGACAAAAAAUUUGGAAAAAAUUAAGCGAAGAGAAUACUUUCCGGAUACACUGUAAGCCUAACCCUGUCCAAAACAACAUCCUUAAAACUAAACCUAAACCAAAACCUUACUAGUACUCCAAUCAAAACCCGAACCUCAAUCUAACUCCCAACCAACAUCUAAACUGAUUAAUCGAAAACCCAUCCCUAAAAAGAACUUGAAAACAAACACAAACCCCAACCGUAACACUAAACUUAACUCUUUUAUCCCGACCACAUCCCCAACACUUAGCCUUAACUAAAACCCAUUUUAAAACUCUAACCCCAACCCAACAUUAAUCUAAUUCCAACCGAAAUCCAAACCCCAGAGCCUAGCCCAACCCCAACACUUGAGACUUUUGAUUGAUUGAUUGAAACUUGUAUUAGUAGAUUGCACCGUACAGUACAUAUUCCGUACAAUUGACCACUAAAUGGUAACACCCGAAUAAGUUUUUCAACUUGUUUAAGUCGGUGUCCACGUUAAGACUAAAAGUAUUGCAACAACCCAACUUCUGUAUAUUAGUCCUAACCAAAAUAAUAUUCAAAACCUCACCUCCCAACCAAAACCUGAUGUCAAUCCCCAACCCCAACCAUAACCUGUGUUGUGUCGACCCACCACUUUGGACAAUGUCCUCCAUCUUCCUCCACACUUUGAAUUUAAGAGAUCCCAGAUGACUUGCAGAGUUAAUCAGGAUGUCUCGUAUAAUUUCUGGCUCUCCAAUGUUGCAUUUCAGCCUACACACAUGUUGACAAUGAUCACACUGUUGUCUCACGGGGGAAUAAAACUGAUGCAGGAAUAUAAACACAUACUUUUUCUUUGUGUCUUUGUAAUCCUACAGAAAAAAAAGAGAAGAAUGGAAUGUAGAACAAGACUGGCGACUAAAGGAAGGUAUCUGUGUACCUUCAAAAAGGGGAAAUCGUCGCUUUGGAGUUUUGUCUGGAUGUCGCUAAUGGUGGAGCAAAGGUUCUUGAUCUGCUUGGAGAUGUGUUCCACCUUGAGUCUCAUUACUUUUACCUUCACCUCUUCCUCCUGUUUGAGUGCUUGAAGUCGGGAGUCUUCCUCCUUGAAAAGGAACAAGUGCAACCUCUGGAACUCAUCCCUGAUAGCUCUGUGGUUUGCAGCUGCUUGGAUCUGUAGGGUUAGCACAGCUGCUUAGACACAACGUUACAGAGGAAAACAUCGGUCAACUAUGAUUACUUGAACCUGGAUGAAUUUUCGGGUUCCUUCCCAAGUUUCCUGUGUCUUUCUCAAAGUCUGGAGCUUUUUCUUGAGAGACUCCAGUCGGACUGUAAUAUUUUCCUGACAUAUUCCAAGUAUAUUAGCGUUUGCUUUGGAAGUCAGUGUUCAAAGUGAUAGAUCUAGAACUCUGCGGUACCUUUUUCUGCUUGGCGGCUUCCUCCAGCGGGCAGCAUUUGUGAAUUUUAUGCUGUUUGGAUGUUUGGCACACCACACAGAUGGGCUCCUCGUCAUUCUGACAGUAAAUACUAAGCUUCGCGUUGUGUAUUUUGCAGAGUUCUCCUCCGGCCCUCUUGCUCUGUUCCAAGUUGUACUGGUCUGCGGCGAUCUUCAGCCCCAAAUUAAUGGGAGGCCUCCUGGGAAUACACACGGCGCAACACACGGGACAUUCCUGACAUCCUUUCCAUUCCCAGAACUUCUGCAGGCAAACUUUACAAACGUUAUGUCCACACUGGAGCAGAACGGGGAAGCAGUAGAUCUCGGUGCACCGCGGACAUAUGAGGUCCUCCCUGCUGAUCACACACGCUGCCAUCUGGCUGACGAGGGGUAGCUAGUGCCGAGUGUUAUUCCGUCCUGCCCCGCAGGUGAGAUGAGAUAACUUCCCCUCAUUCCACCUAAGCAGCUUCAGUAAAUGCUGGCAAACUUGACGGACUGGUUAAAUGCACAUUCUCAUGUCAGGCACGUGUCCUGUAAGCCGGGGCUGCUUGUGUGAUUUGUAAUGCAAAAAUAUGAAGUGAUUGAAAUCUAAUUUGGGACACAACUAGUCUGAUUGUACACUCAACACAGCAGUAAACACAAACACUUCAUGUAAAUAAAUAUAAAAGUAACAUUACAUCAACAAGUACAAGGGCAAAAUAGUCAAGGGUAAAAAUAUAAAAAUUAUAGUACCAAUGAUUGUCACACACACACUUGGUGUGUUGAAAUUACUCUACAUUUGAAGUGUGUUGAAAUUACUCUACAUUUGACCCAUUCUCAAGUUCACCCCCUGGGAGGUGAGGGGAGCAGUGAGCAGCAGCGGUGGCUGCGCUCGGGAAUCAUUUUUGGUGAUUCAACAGUGUCAACCCUUGACGCUGAGUGCCAAGCACAGAUGUAAUGGGUCCCAUUAUUUUUGUAGGCUCGGCCGGGGUUUGAACUCACGAGCUACCGAUCUCAGGGCGGACACUAUAUAGCACUGGAACAAUAAUAAACAUAUUUUUAAAUGACAGCCUCGCCGUGUCAUGUCAGUCAAAACUAAUAGUUGCACCAUUCUUGUAAGUUGAAAAACCCUGAAUGGAAAUGUACAGACAUUCCAGGUAAGCCAGUAAGAUGGAAUUUGUAUUUGACAAAGGAAAAAAAACAAAACAUUGCGUAAUCAUAAAGGGGAAGUGCAUUUUUUGUGUUUUUUUUGCCCAUCAUCCCAGUGAGACAAGAACAUGCAUGUUUCCAUUUUAUGCACCUUAUAAAUAGAGUAAAAACUGAUAAAAUUAGGUGACUAGGCUGCAAGUAAAUCCUCCUAUAAAGCAACCAAAAAAAACAACAUAAAAAAGCACCAACAACACUUCAUUAGCAUGACGUUACCUGCAUAUUAUCCAUUCUAUGGUAUCGUAAGAGCAAACACAGAGGAACUACUUUUCUGGCGUGACACAUCACCUUGCUCACACUGAAAUGAAAUGGUUGUACUUGUGCUCCUGUGACUGCGAGCGAGCAGCCAGCUAGUAGCUACUUGAGCUUGGUUGGUUGCAACCAGUCAUAAAUAAAGGAGCUUAAGCUGCUUCUACUCGAUUGCCUUUACAUUAACAACGUUAAAUAAAAAGGUAAUGCUAGAAUUUAAAAUGUUUUUGCUUUAAUAUACUGUAAUAUUGUACAUGGUAAUUGGGAUUUGUUAACCAUUCAUCCAUUUCCUACCGCUUUUUCCCUUUGGGGUCACCGGUGCCUAUAUAUUGUAUAUAUUACACAAAAAUAUAAUAUAAUAUCAGUAUAUAUGGCGACUUGUCCAGGGUGUAUGCGGCCUUCCGCCCGAAUGCAGCUGAGAUAGGCUCCAGCAUCCGCCCCAUGACCCCGAAAGGGACAAGCGGUAGGAAACGGAUGGAUGAAUUACGACAUGUAAAUAUUGCAUAUAUGUUACAUUUUAUAUAGCUACAACGGUACAUUUUUUUGCCUACUUUGUACCUGCAUUAUCCUUUGUAACUGAGCUACUGUGUGGAACAAUUUCAAAUUGUGGAUCAAUAAAGUUUGUCUAAGUCUCAAUCACCAAA